CAAGGGACACAAUGAAAAUGAAAAUGCAAUCUGUCAGUCCUCUCAUCAAGGCGGGUCCUCAGUUAAGACUUCACUUCCUCUUCAGUUGGAAGGCCACUUCAGGUUCUCAUGGUUCAGUUGUGUAUCUAUCAUUCCACAACACUAGGCUGUAACUUCACAACCAAAUGAAAUCUAUCAAUCGAACAGCUCAAGGAUGGAUCUAUACCGACUUCAAACUUGGAACCUACAGGCCAGCAGAGGUGUUUCCUGCCAGGCUGACAGAAGACAACAGAGGACUACAGAACCUCCGGCAGCUUUGCUGCCCUGAAAACAAGACACACAGCACAACAAAGCAGCUUGAGCAGUGCCCUGUAAACCUAAACAUCACUUACAACUGCUGCAAAUGAAAACAAGAGAAGCGGUGGAGCUGAAUUGGAGAUGCAAAUAUCAGAAGCCAAACAUUUUUGAUGAUGUUUAAAAUGCGAUAUUUUUAUUUUGAAACUUGAAAGUUUUACAAGCUAAGCAUUUUAAAGAAGGUCUGCACAAUAAGCAGUGAGCCUUGUGUCACUGUAAAUUGUCUCUGCUGCAGACCUACAUGAUAAAUGAGCACUACUAAGAAGACAAAGUUAAAGCAAAAAUUUGAUGUAUGUGAUUAAGUAAAAUAAAAAUUUUCAUGUUUC